UAGGGAAUCUUCCGCAAUGGACGCAAGUCUGACGGAGCAACGCCGCGUGAGUGAAGAAGGAUUUCGGUUCGUAAAACUCUGUUGUUAGAGAAGAACAGCGCAUAGAGUAACUGUUAUGCGUGUGACGGUAUCUAACCAGAAAGCCACGGCUAACUACGUGCCAGCAGCCGCGGUAAUACGUAGGUGGCAAGCGUUGUCCGGAUUUAUUGGGCGUAAAGCGAGCGCAGGCGGUCAAUUAAGUCUGAUGUGAAAGCCCCCGGCUCAACCGGGGAGGGUCAUUGGAAACUGGUUGACUUGAGUGCAGAAGAGGGGAGUGGAAUUCCAUGUGUGGCGGUGAAAUGCGUAGAUAUAUGGAGGAACACCAGUGGCGAAGGCGACUCUCUGGUCUGUAACUGACGCUGAGGCUCGAAAGCGUGGGUAGCAAACAGG
rnacentral:rRNA from 1 species